CUCCCCACCCUGAACGCACCUGAUCUCGGAAGCUAAGCAGGGUCGGGCCUGGUUAGUACUUGGAUGGGAGAAGUAUUACCUUCUACACAAAUACUUCUGAGAAUUUGUGGAUGGUGU
rnacentral:rRNA from 1 species